GACAGAGGGUGCAAACGUUGUUCGGAAAUUACUGGGCGUAAAGCGCGUGUAGGCUGCUUGGAAAGUCGGAUGUGAAAGCCCUGGGCUCAACCUAGGAAGUGCAUUCGAAACUUCCAGCUGGAGUGCUGGAGAGGAAGGCGGAAUUCUCGGUGUAGAGGUGAAAUUCGUAGAUAUCGAGAGGAACACCGGUGGCGAAGGCGGGCCUU
rnacentral:rRNA from 1 species